rnacentral:lncRNA from 1 species
CGGCCUGUCAUACAUUAACUUGACAAAUCAAUCUCUGUAGCACUGUUAAAGGAAAGUGCUUGUUUCGACUGUGAGUGUGACUCCAAUAGUUGGCCAGUAUAUGCUUUACCGGACACAACUCCGAUAGGUUGCACCCAACGCUACAAGACCCGGUGCAGAUCGAGAGACAGCCCAGCAAACAGCCACCGACAACCAAGCCAGGCAACCAAGAGCUCAACUCAAACAAUGCUCUCUUUAGCACAAUUAAAGGAAAGUGCUUAUUUCCAGCAUGUGAGUGUGACUCCAAUUGUUGGCCGACACAUACUCUAAUUGUAUGUUUUGUGUCCCCUGUGACCACAGACCCAAUGCUACCAUAUGGCCUGUCCGGUGCGGAGAGAGGGACAGCCGGCGACCUGCUAUUGGCAACCUAACCAGCCAUGGACUCUCGGACCAGCCAUUGACUAACGUCCCCUGCUUGUGAGGAAGAGCCAAACCCUGCUCUGGCAAAAUUGUAUGUCCCCUGACCUGGUGGAGCAGCAGGAACUUCAGAGACAGGAGGGAACCGGCAGAGAGGGAAGAAAGAAAAGAGUGUUUGCUUCUACAGAGGAGAGGACAUACCUUUCGGAAGGGAGAAGAAGGGGACACACCACCUUUUGGGAAUGGUCACCACAAAUCCGGACGACCACCCGAAGGGAGCUCUCCAUGGAAGGAUCGGGAAGACAGUGACACACCCGUGAUUUAUGUUAUAGUUUAAAGAUACUCCAAUUGUGUUACUUGUUCUUUUUUUUGUAAUUUUAUUUUAACCCCUUUUCUCCCCAAUUUCUUGGUAUCCAAUUGUUUAGUAGCUACUAUCUUGUCUCAUCGU